AUUGAACGCUGGCGGAAUGCUUUACACAUGCAAGUCGAACGGCAGCACGGACUUCGGUCUGGUGGCGAGUGGCGAACGGGUGAGUAAUGUAUCGGAACGUGCCCAGUCGUGGGGGAUAACGUAGUGAAAAUUACGCUAAUACCGCAUCCGAUCUAUGGAUGAAAGCGGGGAUCGCAAGACCUCGCGCGAUUGGAGCGGCCGAUAUCAGAUUAGGUAGUGGGUGGGGUAAAGGCCCACCAAGCCAACGAUCUGUAGCUGGUCUGAGAGGACGACCAGCCACACUGGAACUGAGACACGGUCCAGACUCCUACGGGAGGCAGCAGUGGGGAAUUUUGGACAAUGGGCGAAAGCCUGAUCCAGCCAUUCCGCGUGCAGGAUGAAGGCCCUCGGGUUGUAAACUGCUUUUGUACAGAACGAAAAGGUUUCUACUAAUACUAGGAGCUCAUGACGGUACUGUAAGAAUAAGCACCGGCUAACUACGUGCCAGCCGCCGCGGUAA
rnacentral:rRNA from 1 species